rnacentral:rRNA from 1 species
UGCAUAUCCAAUAAGCGGAGGAAAAGAAACCAACAGGGAUUGCCUCAGUAACGGCGAGUGAAGCGGCAAAAGCUCAAAUUUGAAACCCUCGGGAUUGUAAUUUGAAGAUUUGGCAUUGGAGAAAGCUAACCCAAGUUGCUUGGAAUAGUACGUCAUAGAGGGUGACAACCCCGUCUGGCUAACCGUUCUCCAUGUAUUGCCUUAUCAAAGAGUCGAGUUGUUUGGGAAUGCAGCUCAAAGUGGGUGGUAAACUCCAUCUAAAGCUAAAUACUGGUGAGAGACCGAUAGCGAACAAGUACUGUGAAGGAAAGGUGAAAAGAACUUUGAAAAGAGAGUGAAAUAGUAUGUGAAAUUGUUGAUAGGGAAGGAAAUGAGUGGAGAGUGGCCGAGGUUUCAGCCGCCCCUCGUGGGCGGUGUACUGCCGACGCCGAGUCAUCGAUAGCGAGACGAGGGUUACAAAUGGGAGCGCCUUCGGGCGUUCUCCCCUAACCCUCCACACUGCCACCGACGACAUAAUCCACCCAUUUCACCCGUCUUGAAACACGGACC